rnacentral:tRNA from 1 species
GCGGCAGUAGCUCAGUUGGAUAGAGCACGGGCCUUCUAAGCCUGAGGUCGGGGGUUCGAUCCCCUCCUGCCGCGCCA